rnacentral:rRNA from 1 species
AUUGAACGCUGGCGGCAUGCCUUACACAUGCAAGUCGAACGGUAACGGGCCUUCGGGUGCCGACGAGUGGCGAACGGGUGAGUAAUGUAUCGGAACGUACCUUUCAGUGGGGGAUAACGUAGCGAAAGUUACGCUAAUACCGCAUAUUCUGUGAGCAGGAAAGCAGGGGAUCGCAAGACCUUGCGCUGUUUGAGCGGCCGAUAUCAGAUUAGCUAGUCGGUGAGGUAAAGGCUCACCAAGGCGACGAUCUGUAGCGGGUCUGAGAGGAUGAUCCGCCACACUGGAACUGAGACACGGUCCAGACUCCUACGGGAGGCAGCAGUGGGGAAUUUUGGACAAUGGGGGCAACCCUGAUCCAGCCAUGCCGCGUGAGUGAAGAAGGCCUUCGGGUUGUAAAGCUCUUUCGGCCGGGAAGAAAUCGUAUGGGUUAAUACCCUGUGCGGAUGACGGUACCGGCAUAAGAAGCACCGGCUAACUACGUGCCAGCAGCCGCAGUAACAC